UACGUAGGGUCCGAGCGUUGUCCGGAAUUAUUGGGCGUAAAGGGCUCGUAGGCGGUUUGUUGCGUCGGGAGUGAAAACUUACAGCUUAACUGUGAGCGUGCUUCCGAUAUGGGCAGACUUGAGGUAUUCAGGGGAGAACGGAAUUCCUGGUGUAGCGGUGAAAUGCGCAGAUAUCAGGAGGAACACCGGUGGCGAAGGCGGUUCUCUGGGAAUAUCCUGACGCUGAGGAGCGAAAGUGUGGGGAGCGAACAGG
rnacentral:rRNA from 1 species